rnacentral:rRNA from 1 species
UACGUAGGGUGCAAGCGUUAAUCGGAAUUACUGGGCGUAAAGCGUGCGCAGGCGGCUUUUGCAAGACAGAUGUGAAAUCCCCGGGCUCAACCUGGGAACUGCAUUUGUGACUGCAUGGCUGGAGUGCGGCAGAGGGGGAUGGAAUUCCGCGUGUAGCAGUGAAAUGCGUAGAUAUGCGGAGGAACACCGAUGGCGAAGGCAAUCCCCUGGGCCUGCACUGACGCUCAUGCACGAAAGCGUGGGGAGCAAACAGG